CAUUUACCAGCUCAGUCGGUAGAGCAUGAGACUCUUAAUCUCAGGGUUGUGGGUUCAAGCCCCAUGUUAAGUGA